GUCGAGCGAACAGACGAGGAGCUUGCUCCUCUGACGUUAGCGGCGGACGGGUGAGUAACACGUGGAUAACCUACCUAUAAGACUGGGAUAACUUCGGGAAACCGGAGCUAAUGCCGGAUAAUAUAUUGAACCGCAUGGUUCAAUAGUGAAAGACGGUUUUGCUGUCACUUAUAGAUGGAUCCGCGCCGCAUUAGCUAGUUGGUAAGGUAACGGCUUACCAAGGCAACGAUGCGUAGCCGACCUGAGAGGGUGAUCGGCCACACUGGAACUGAGACACGGUCCAGACUCCUACGGGAGGCAGCAGUAGGGAAUCUUCCGCAAUGGGCGAAAGCCUGACGGAGCAACGCCGCGUGAGUGAUGAAGGUCUUCGGAUCGUAAAACUCUGUUAUUAGGGAAGAACAAAUGUGUAAGUAACUAUGCACGUCUUGACGGUACCUAAUCAGAAAGCCACGGCUAACUACGUGCCAGCAGCCGCGGUAAUACGUAGGUGGCAAGCGUUAUCCGGAAUUAUUGGGCGUAAAGCGCGCGUAGGCGGUUUUCUAAGUCUGAUGUGAAAGCCCACGGCUCAACCGUGGAGGGUCAUUGGAAACUGGAAAACUUGAGUGCAGAAGAGGAAAGUGGAAUUCCAUGUGUAGCGGUGAAAUGCGCAGAGAUAUGGAGGAACACCAGUGGCGAAGGCGACUUUCUGGUCUGUAACUGACGCUGAUGUGCGAAAGCGUG
rnacentral:rRNA from 1 species